rnacentral:rRNA from 1 species
GACGAACGCUGGCGGCGUGCUUAACACAUGCAAGUCGAACGGAGUGGCGAACGGGUGAGUAACCCGUGGGUGACCUGCCCUCCACUGCGGGAUAAGCCUGGGAAACUGGGUCUAAUACAGGAUAGUGUGGGAUGGGCCCGCGGCCUAUCAGCUUGUUGUUGGGGUAAUGGCCUACCAAGGCGGCGACGGGUAGCCGGCCGGAGAGGGUGGACGGCCAGAUUGGGACUGAUGCACGGCCCAGACUCCGACGGGGGGCAGCAGUGGGGAAGAUUGCACAAUGGGCGGAAGCCUGAGGCAGCGACGCUGCGUGGGGGAUUACGGCCGUCGGGUUGUAAUCCGCUUUCAGCCAUGACGCGGUAGUGGCAGAAGAAGCACCGGCUAACUACGUGCCAGCAGCCGCGGUAAUAC